GGGAGACGCGAAACUAAAGCUAGCCGUCGAAUCCAUCACCGCCGCCCCCCGCCGCCGCCUUACGGUGACUCCGCCCGGAUCGAGGCGCGCGUACGGUGGAUUCCACUCGACGUCGUAACGAGGCCAGAAGACGACGGUUCCCGUCGUGCGUAUAACGGGGGGCCAAAGCCAGAAGCGGAGCAGGCGCAGAGCUCCGAGAGAGCUCACUAAAUAAAUGCAAGACUCGAACUUUGAUGGAGACUGAAUUAAGCGAGCCUGACAUAUGGGGAAGCAUUUCAUCAGAGAUUCUUGCCUCUACGACAUCCAUUCGAUUUCUUCCUCAGAAGCUACAAUAUGUGGUUCAAGAAGAAAGAGCAAAUGCAGCUUGCCAGAAAAUUCUACUGAAGAUGGUGAUGAUGUGUCUGAGGUGUUGCAUUCUUAUGAUGAAUGGGCAUGUAAUCAUCACAGACAGCGGCGGUGGUUUGAGCUCAUUAGUAGGUCUAAAUUGUAGAACAUGAGUUGGAACAGACUUGGUCAGAAACGAAACCAAGUAGCAGAAUUGUGUUACUACUUUGAAAGGCAAGUCAUUUGGCUAUUGUAAGAAUUAGAUAUGAUCAUUUUGGCAAAAACUUCCGCCAACAAACUGAUGUUAGUGAUUGGCAGCAUGUAUCAUACAAU